rnacentral:rRNA from 1 species
AUUGAACGCUGGCGGCAGGCCUAACACAUGCAAGUCGAACGGUAACAGGAAGAAGCUUGCUUCUUUGCUGACGAGUGGCGGACGGGUGAGUAAUGUCUGGGAAACUGCCUGAUGGAGGGGGAUAACUACUGGAAACGGUAGCUAAUACCGCAUAACGUCGCAAGACCAAAGAGGGGGACCUUCGGGCCUCUUGCCAUCGGAUGUUCCCAGAUGGGAUUAGCUAGUAGGUGGGGUAACGGCUCACCUAGGCGACGAUCCCUAGCUGGUCUGAGAGGAUGACCAGCCACACUGGAACUGAGACACGGUCCAGACUCCUACGGGAGGCAGCAGUGGGGAAUAUUGCACAAUGGGCGCAAGCCUGAUGCAGCCAUGCCGCGUGUAUGAAGAAGGCCUUCGGGUUGUAAAGUACUUUCAGCGGGGAGGAAGGGAGUAAAGUUAAUACCUUUGCUCAUUGACGUUACCCGCAGAAGAAGCACCGGCUAACUACGUG